rnacentral:rRNA from 1 species
AUGCACGCUGGCGGCGUGCCUAAUACCUGCAAGUCGAGCGAACAGACGAGGAGCUUGCUCCUCUGACGUUAGCGGCGGACGGGUUAGUAACACGUGGAUAACCUACCUAUAAGACUGGGAUAACUUCGGGAAACCGGAGCUAAUACCGGAUAAUAUAUUGAACCGCAUGGUUCAAUAGUGAAAGACGGUUUUGCUGUCACUUAUAGAUGGAUCCGCGCCGCAUUAGCUAGUUGGUAAGGUAACGGCUUACCAAGGCGACGAUGCGUAGCCGACCUGAGAGGGUGAUCGGCCACACUGGAACUGAGACACGGUCCAGACUCCUACGGGAGGCAGCAGUAGGGAAUCUUCCGCAAUGGGCGAAAGCCUGACGGAGCAACGCCGCGUGAGUGAUGAAGGUCUUCGGAUCGUAAAACUCUGUUAUUAGGGAAGAACAAAUGUGUAAGUAACUAUGCACGUCUUGACGGUACCUAAUCAGAAAGCCACGGCCAACUACGUG